rnacentral:rRNA from 1 species
GAUCUAGGAGACUUGGUCCUUCASUUCGGCUGGCUGGAACACAGGGCUGCAUGGCKGRCGNCAGCUVGCGUCGUGAGAAGUCGGGUUAAGUCCCGCAACGAGCGCAACCCUCAUCUUUAGUUGCCAUCGGGUAAGGCCGGGCACUCUAAAGAAACCGCCGGCGAUAAGCCGGAGGAAGGCGGGGAUGACGUCAAGCCCUCAUGGCCCUUACAGGUUGGGCUACACACGUACUACAAUGGUGGUGACAGAGGGUUGCGAAGUCGSAGACGGAGCCAAUCCCCAAAAGCCAUCUCAGCUCAGAUUGCACCCUGCAACUCGGGUGCAUGAAGUCUSAAUCGCUASUAAUCGCAGAUCAGCACGCUGCGGCGAAUACGUUCCCGGGCCUUGUACACACCGACCGUCACGCCAUGGGAGUUGGCUAUACCCGAAGCCGGUGAGCGAACCNAAGGACGCA